CAGCAGCCGCGGUAAAACCAGCAGCCCAAGUGGUGGUCGCGAUUAUUGGGCCUAAAGCGCUCGUGGCCGGGCCGGUAAGUCCCUUGUGAAAUCGGACGGCCUAACCGUUCGGCGUGCAAGGGAUACUGUCGGUCUUGAGGCCGGGAGACGUCCGAGGUACUCCGGGGGUAGCGGUGAAAUGUUCUGAUCCUCGGGGGACCACCGGUGGCGAAGGCGUUCGACGAGAACGGGCCUGACGGUGAGGGGCGAAGGCUAGGGGAGCAAACGGGAUUAGAUACCCGCGUAGUCCCUGUCUCUUAUU
rnacentral:rRNA from 1 species